GAUCAGUACGAAAGGAGAGAAGGUUAGCACUGCCCUUGAGAAAGAUGGAAGAGGUCCUAGUGGCCUAUACAACACCCACAGUUGGGUAGGGACCGUCUCUAUAUGUUGCCAACUUGUACUUC